UACGAAGGGGGCGAGCGUUGUUCGGAAUUACUGGGCGUAAAGGGCGCGUAGGCGGCGAUCCUAGUCAGAUGUGAAAGUCCUGGGCUUAACCUGGGGACUGCAUUUGAUACUGGAUUGCUUGAAUUCGGGAGAGGAUAGCGGAAUUCCCAGUGUAGAGGUGAAAUUCGUAGAUAUUGGGAAGAACACCGGUGGCGAAGGCGGCAACCUGGUCCUUGACUGACGCUGAGGCGCGAAAGCGUGGGGAGCAAACAGG
rnacentral:rRNA from 1 species